GGCCCCAUAGCUCAGUUGGUUAGAGCGUCGUGCUAAUAACGCGAAGGUCGUCAGUUCGAUCCUGGCUGGGGCCA
rfam:Fonticula alba strain ATCC 38817 unplaced genomic scaffold supercont2.4, whole genome shotgun sequence.